AGCGAACGCUGGCGGCAGGCCUAACACAUGCAAGUCGAGCGCCCCGCAAGGGGAGCGGCAGACGGGAGAGUAACACGUGGGAACGUGCCCUUUGGUUCGGAACAACACAGGGAAACUUGUGCUAAUACCGGAUAAGCCCUUACGGGGAAAGAUUUAUCGCCAAAGGAUCGGCCCGCGUCUGAUUAGCUAGUUGGUGAGGUAAUGGCUCACCAAGGCGACGAUCAGUAGCUGGUCUGAGAGGAUGAUCAGCCUCACUGGGACUGAGACACGGCCCAGACUCCUACGGGAGGCAGCAGUGGGGAAUAUUGGACAAUGGGCGCAAGCCUGAUCCAGCCAUGCCGCGUGGAUGAUGAAGGCCCUAGGGUUGUAAAGUCCUUUCGACGGGGAAGAUAAUGACGGUACCCGUAGAAGAAGCCCCGGCUAACUUCGUGCCAGCCGCCGCAGUAACAC
rnacentral:rRNA from 1 species